GACGAGGGGUGCGAACGUUAUUCGGAAUGAUUGGGCGUAAAGGGUGCGUAGGCGGUUUAUCAAGUCAACUGUUAAAUUUCUCAGCUUAACUGGGAGUAUGCGGUAGAAACUGGCAAACUAGAGGAUGGAAGAGAGAAGUAGAAUUCUCGGAGUAGCGGUAAAAUGCGUAGAUCUCGAGAGGAACACCGAUGGCGAAGGCAGCUUCUUGGUCCAUUUCUGACGCUGAGGCACGAAAGCGUGGGGAGCAAACAGG
rnacentral:rRNA from 1 species